rnacentral:rRNA from 1 species
CUGAGGAGCCAUGAUGUCAUUAAUUUUGGUGUCGUGGGGAAUCAGGACUGUUACUUUGAAAAAAUUAGAGUCGUUUAAAGCAGGCACGCGCUUGAAUACAUUAGCAUGGAAUAAUGAAAUAGGACGUUCGAUUCUAUUUUGUUGGUUUCUAGGAUUGACGUAAUGAUUAAUAGGGAUAGUUGGGGGCAUUAGUAUUCAAUUGUCAGAGGUGAAAUUCUUGGAUUUAUUGAAGACUGACUACUGCGAAAGCAUUUGCCAAGGAUGUUUUCAUUAAUCAAGAACGAAAGUUAGGGGAUCGAAAACGAUCAGAUACCGUCGUAGUCUUAACCAUAAACUAUGCCGACUAGGGAUCGAAUGAUGUUAAUUUUUUAAUGA